rnacentral:lncRNA from 1 species
GCAACUGCUAGAGGUGUGCUAAAUGUUGUAAGACCACACCCAACCCUCCCAGUUUUGCAGUGAUAAAUUGAAUUCAUUCCCCCUUAUUUUGAAGCAAGGAGUUCAAAGGUUGCUUCUCUUGAGGCUGGUCCCUAAACAUUUAAGUACCUUACUCACUAUCACGAGGUUUGUGGUUAUUUUAUCAUCAUGACACUUGAGCUUUCUGUACUAGUUAAGUUAUGAUAUUUUUGAGUACAUUGGCAGCAUACAAAGUUCUGGUUAUCCUAAUUGUUUGCUUUGUGAUGGGUGCAUUUUUAUUACUGUAAAAAUGUUGUUUAACCUGGAAGAUUGUUUCAUGAAAUUUGAGAUAUUUGGUAGUUUCUCUAUUUCACCCAACAGGUAGUUCAUUUUUAUGUGGAAAUUAUGACUGCACUUAAAUUGAACCUUUUUAGGGAACAUUAUAUAAUUUAUUGUAAAAUGGGUUUUGCUUAGUUAUGCACCUUUUUAGGGAACAUUCAUGUAUUUUCAAAAGUAGAAUUAAAUUUCUAUUCAUAAUUCCACUUUAUUAGCCUAGGGCAAUAUAAGUUUCACUUUUGGUUUGGGUUUGAUGAUAUCUGGCAAUGCAACCUUUUCGUUUCAUUAGGCACUGACCUCAUUUUGGCCCUGUCAGAUUAUAGAUGCUAGCCUUCCGGAAGAAGAUGUUGAGCAGCAGCUGAGGGACACUGUAUUGGAUUGAGACUCACUCACUUAUUGAGGAUACUCUAACUUCAAUAUGCCAGGUAUAGCAUGUCUAACUUCUGUUAACAAGAUGUAGAAUCAACUCGCUUUUAGUUAAUGAUUGCUUACAAAUGUUCUGGUAGUGCUGAUACAGUGUGUUACUUGAGUAUGCCGGUAUCACAUAUUUAAAAACUUAAGCUUUAAUUAUGCAGUCAAAUCAGAAUAAAAAAUAUUUUAAAUAAAAGAACCAUUUAGAUAGAAAAGACAGGAUUAAAUGUUUGGUUAUUGAUCUGUUCCAUCCUUUUCCAUAUUUUCCUGCCAGGCGAUUCUGGUCAAUCCUGUUGAUGUGAUGUGCAACUGUUAUGGAUCUCAUGUUCUUCGAUGUACACACUAUUGCAUAUAAAUUGAUGUGGUGCAUCAUGCCUAUUGUGUAGCUUGAUUUUAGAAUAAAGUUGAGGUUUCAGGGUUGGUUCUCGCUUUUGCUAAAUUUACAUAUUAUGGUUUGCUAUUUUUCUGUCAAUCUCAGACAGACUAGUGACUGAUUUCAUUGUUGAAAAACUUUUCUGAUGUUGAUAUGCUUAAAUUUGGUGCUCAGAAUUUCUUCAGGAUGCUCUAUUUGGCAAACCUAUGUAGAUAUGCUAAUUGCUCAGCAUCGUUAAAUUAUUAUAGACCAUGAUGUGCUAUGUCCUACAAAGUGGGAGACCUUAUAUGUUGUUCAAGCUGAUUUUAAAUGUAACUAUCUAACAAUUAUGGUCUACUAUUAUUUGUUUGUAUUGUGAUUUUGUCCCCCUCUUAUCCUCAUAUUUUAUUUCCUUCCAGGAUACCUGCAAUAUAAAGAGUAACCAACAAAAUCUGGGAACCAUUUGCAAGUUCAGUCUCAUUGUCUUUGAAAGAAAUUUAGUUUCACUUGUAUUUUUUAAUUCAUGUUGUUUCAUAAUGCUUGAGAUAUUUGAAACUGUAAACGAAUGAUAUUAUUGGGAUGUAUUUUGAAUGGUUGAUAUAUUUUGGUUUUAAAUUUAAAUGAGAAUUUAGACCUUUUAUUAUUAUUGGGAUGUAUUUUGAAUGGUUGAUAUAUUUUGGUUUUAAAUUUAAAUGAGAAUUUAGACCUUUUAGCUAUAUAUCAUGGCAUUAGCAUAUUGCACGUGCAUUGGUAAUAUAGGUUAAAAAUGUUGUAUAAAUUGGUUAAAAACGUUGUUUGAUAUACUAAACAACAACGUUUUUAUCUAAAAAAAUGUUGUGGAAUCAUACUUUUUACAACAUUUUUAAGUAUUUGCUAAUUUUUUAAAAACAAAUUUAUAACGUUUUUUUUUUAAAAAACGUUAUGUAUUGUGCUUAACUACAACGUUUUAAAAAUGUUGUGUAAUGGUGUCAAAUAGACUACACCCUUAACCAUGACGUUUUUUUGAUAGAAAUCACAACGUUUUUUUUGCGUUGUCUAUUUACUGUUUUCUAGUAGUGGAAGAGGAAUUUAGAAUCACAAUUAUGAUUAUGAGUUAUUCACAUGAUUGUUGAUAGGAACUAUUGAUUGAUGUUACAGGGAUAAAAUAUUGUUGGUGGACUUUUAACAUGAUGGAGAUAAUAGACUUUAAGGUCUAUUUGAU